CUGUUUUUCUUUUCAAAGAAGCUUAUGCUAUCUGCAACUGGGACAGUAGACAUAACUUCAGUAGGACACAACUAUUUGAAUGGAAAUUUGUUUCCCUACUUUUUGUUCCUUGUUAAUUUAGCUUCCUAAAGAUCCAAUUUGAAAUCUUAUAUAAUGUAUAGCAAUCAUAAAUUUCAGCGAUAGGGUUGCAUAAAUAUCUUAAUAAAAAAUUGAGCUUGAGAAAUAUUCAAAUGAUAAUUUAGAAGGAUAAUAUAUUCUUUAAAAAAUGGCACAACUCUGAUUCUACAGAUGAUAAUUUAGAAGGAUAAUAUAUUCUUUAAAAAAUGGCACAACUCUGAUUCUACAGAUGAUAAUUUAGAAGGAUAAUAUAUUCUUUAAAAAAUGGCACAACUCUGAUUCUACAGAUCAUUUUAUUUGACGCUGCAGGUAGGAAUAAUGCUUAGAGGCAUGGGAUUUGAUAAUACCACUCUAGUGUACGUUGCUGCAGGAAAAAUUUAUAAAGAACAAAAGUACAUGGCGCCACUUAAACAGAUGUUUCCACGAUUACUAACAAAAUAUACCUUGGCAACGCCAGAAGAGCUUGCUCAAUUUAAGCGCCACUCAUCUAGGUUGGCUGCUCUUGAUUAUACUAUUUGCCUCCAUAGUGAAGCAUUUGUUACAACUCAGGGUGGAAAUUUUCCUCACUUCUUGAUGGGUCACAGGAGAUAUAUGUA